rnacentral:rRNA from 1 species
GAUGAACGCUAGCGACAGGCUUAACACAUGCAAGUCGAGGGGCAGCAUAGAAGUAGCAAUACUUUGGUGGCGACCGGCGCACGGGUGAGUAACGCGUAUGCAACCUACCUAUCAGAGGGGGAUAACCCGGCGAAAGUCGGACUAAUACCGCAUAAAACAGGGGCACAGCAUGGUGAUAUUUGUUACAGAUUAAUUGCUGAUAGAUGGGCAUGCGUUCCAUUAGGUAGUUGGGGAGGUAAUGGCUCACCAAGCCGACGAUGGAUAGGGGAACUGAGAGGUUGGUCCCCCACACUGGUACUGAGACACGGACCAGACUCCUACGGGGGGCAGCAGUGAGGAAUAUUGGUCAAUGGGCGAGAGCCUGAACCAGCCAAGUCGCGUGAAGGAAGAAGGAUCUAUGGUUCGUAAACUUCUUUUGCAGGGGAAUAAAGUGGAGGACGUGUCCUCUUAUGUAUGUACCCUGAGAAUAAGGAUCGGCUAACUCCGUGCCAGCCGCCGCCGUAAUAC